ACCCAGCUGACGAGUCCCAAACAGGACGAAAUGCGCAUCCUGGAU
rnacentral:hammerhead_ribozyme from 1 species